rnacentral:rRNA from 1 species
GUACGGAGGGUGCAAGCGUUGUUCGGAAUUAUUGGGCGUAAAGCGCGUGUAGGCGGUUGGUUAAGUCUGAUGUGAAAGCCCUGGGCUCAACCCGGGAAGUGCAUUGGAAACUGGCUGACUUGAGUACGGGAGAGGGUAGUGGAAUUUCGAGUGUAGGGGUGAAAUCCGUAGAUAUUCGAAGGAACACCGGUGGCGAAGGCGGCUACCUGGACCGAUACUGACGCUGAGACGCGAAAGCGUGGGAAGC